rnacentral:rRNA from 1 species
UGGGGAAUAUUGGACAAUGGGCGCAAGCCUGAUCCAGCCAUGCCGCGUGGGUGAAGAAGGCCUUCGGGUUGUAAAGCCCUUUUGUUGGGAAAGAAAAGCAGUCGGUUAAUACCCGAUUGUUCUGACGGUACCCAAAGAAUAAGCACCGGCUAACUUCGUGCCAGCAGCCGCGGUAAUACGAAGGGUGCAAGCGUUACUCGGAAUUACUGGGCGUAAAGCGUGCGUAGGUGGUUUGUUAAGUCUGAUGUGAAAGCCCUGGGCUCAACCUGGGAAUUGCAUUGGAUACUGGCAGGCUAGAGUGCGGUAGAGGGUAGUGGAAUUCCCGGUGUAGCAGUGAAAUGCGUAGAGAUCGGGAGGAACAUCCGUGGCGAAGGCGACUACCUGGACCAGCACUGACACUGAGGCACGAAAGCGUGGGGAGCAAACAGGAUUAGAUACCCUGGUA